rnacentral:rRNA from 1 species
CCUACGGGAGGCAGCAGUGGGGAAUAUUGGACAAUGGGGGGAACCCUGAUCCAGCCAUGCCGCGUGUGUGAAGAAGGCCCUCGGGUUGUAAAGCACUUUCAGUGAGGAAGAACGCCUGGUGGUUAAUACCCAUCAGGAAAGACAUCACUCACAGAAGAAGCACCGGCUAACUCCGUGCCAGCAGCCGCGGUAAUACGGAGGGCGCGAGCGUUAAUCGGAAUUACUGGGCGUAAAGCGCGCGUAGGUGGCUUGAUAAGCCGGUUGUGAAAGCCCCGGGCUCAACCUGGGAACGGCAUCCGGAACUGUCAAGCUAGAGUGCAGGAGAGGAAGGUAGAAUUCCCGGUGUAGCGGUGAAAUGCGUAGAGAUCGGGAGGAAUACCAGUGGCGAAGGCGGCCUUCUGGACUGACACUGACACUGAGGUGCGAAAGCAUGGGUAGCAAACAGGAUUAGAUACCCCUGUAGUC